AGUAAGUUAGUUCAAUAUAGAAUAAUUCACUCUUAAUGAAUAGAUGAUAUAUAAUAAUAUCACUUGCUA
rnacentral:tRNA from 1 species